UACGGAGGAUGCAAGCGUUAUCCGGAAUGAUUGGGCGUAAAGCGUCCGCAGGUGGCUGUGUAAGUCUGCUGUCAAAGAGCAAAGCUCAACUUUGUAAAGGCAGUGGAAACUACACGGCUAGAGUGCGUUCGGGGCAGAGGGAAUUCCUGGUGUAGCGGUGAAAUGCGUAGAGAUCAGGAAGAACACCGGUGGCGAAGGCGGCUACCUGGUCCACAACUGACGUUCAGGUACGAAAGCGUGGGGAGCAAACAGG
rnacentral:rRNA from 1 species